AGAGUUUGAUCCUGGCUCAGAACGAACGCUGGCGGCAGGCCUAACACAUGCAAGUCGAGCGCCCGCAAGGGAGCGGCAGACGGGUGAGUAACGCGUGGGAACGUGCCCUUUGGUUCGGAAUAUUCCCGGGAAACUGGGAGCAAGACCGGAUAAGCCCUUCGGGGGAAAGUUUACGCCAAAGGAUCGGCCCGCGUUAGAUUAGGUAGUUGGUGGGGUAACGGCCUACCAAGCCUACGAUCUAUAGCUGAUCUGAGAGGAUGAUCAGCCACACUGGGACUGAGACACGGCCCAGACUCCUACGGGAGGCAGCAGUGGGGAAUCUUGGACAAUGGGCGCAAGCCUGAUCCAGCCAUGCCGCGUGGAUGACUGAAGGCCCUAGGGUUGUAAAGUCCUUUCGACGGGGACGAUAAUGACGGUACCCGUAGAAGAAGCCCCGGCUAACUUCGUGCCAGCAGCCGCGGUAAUACGAAGGGGGCUAGCGUUGUUCGGAUUUACUGGGCGUAAAGGGCGCGUAGGCGGAUUUUUAAGUCGGGGGUGAAAUCCCGGAGCUCAACUCCGGAACUGCCUUCGAUACUGGAAGUCUGGAGCACGGUAGAGGUGAGUGGAAUUCCGAGUGUAGCGGUGAAAUGCGUAGA
rnacentral:rRNA from 1 species